rnacentral:rRNA from 1 species
AUUGAACGCUGGCGGCGUGCCUAACACAUGCAAGUCGAGCGGAGCGUCGGACGGGUGCGUAAUGACUAGGGAUCUGCCUGGUAGUGGGGGAUACCGUCAGGGAACGGGCGCUAAUACAACAUACUAUCAGCUGAGCCUAGGUCGGCUUAGCUAGUUGGAGGGGUAACGGCCUACCAAGGCGACGAUCCGUAACUGGUCUGAGAGGAUGAUCAGUCACACUGGAACUGAGACACGGCCCAGACUCCUACGGGAGGCAGCAGUGGGGAAUAUUCGGCAAUGGGCGAAAGCCUGAUCCAGCAAUGCCGCGUGAGUGAAGAAGGUUUUCGGAUUGUAAAGCACUUUAAGUUGGGAGGCGUUACCUACAGAAUAAGCACCGGCUAACUACGUGCCAGCAGCCGCGGUAAUUC